ACUCCUGCGGGAGGCAGCAGUGGGGAAUUUUGGACAAUGGACGAAAGCCUGAUCCAGCAAUGCCGCGUGAGUGAAGAAGGCCUUCGGGUUGUAAAGCUCUUUUGUCAGGGAAGAAACGGUGAAAGCUAAUAUCUUUUGCUAAUGACGGUACCUGAAGAAUAAGCACCGGCUAACUACGUGCCAGCAGCCGCGGUAAUACGUAGGGUGCAAGCGUUAAUCGGAAUUACUGGGCGUAAAGCGUGCGCAGGCGGUUUUGUAAGUCUGAUGUGAAAUCCCCGGGCUCAACCUGGGAAUUGCAUUGGAGACUGCAAGGCUAGAAUCUGGCAGAGGGGGGUAGAAUUCCACGUGUAGCAGUGAAAUGCGUAGAUAUGUGGAGGAACACCGAUGGCGAAGGCAGCCCCCUGGGUCAAGAUUGACGCUCAUGCACGAAAGCGUGGGGAGCAAACAGGAUUAGAAACCCCGGUAGUCC
rnacentral:rRNA from 1 species